CCAGUCGUACCGACGGGAAUUCAACUUCUCGAGUGCUAAUCGUGGGUGACGUUGAGCCUCACGGCCUUCGUUGCUUGUGUUGCUGGUGCUUUUGGGGUGUACUUUUCCGUAUUGGUAGGUCAGCAUCGAUUUCGAUCGUCAUAAAAUGAUCGGGGGAAUGUAGCUUCGGUCUCGUAUCGGAGUGUUAUAGACCUUGGUAGAUGUGACGAUUGGGAUCGAGGAUUGCAACGAAUACCCUCUGGGCUAUCCGUCUGACCUCUGAAAGUCGCUCGGGUGUCGAAAGCUUGCUUAUGGCUAUUCGAGUUGGCGGUCAAUAGGUUAGAACGUGAUUAUA
rnacentral:rRNA from 1 species